rnacentral:rRNA from 1 species
GAUGAACGCUGGCGGCGUGCCUAAUACAUGCAAGUCGAGCGAACGGACGAGAAGCUUGCUUCUCUGAUGUUAGCGGCGGACGGGUGAGUAACACGUGGAUAACCUACCUAUAAGACUGGGAUAACUUCGGGAAACCGGAGCUAAUACCGGAUAAUAUUUUGAACCGCAUGGUUCAAAAGUGAAAGACGGUCUUGCUGUCACUUAUAGAUGGAUCCGCGCUGCAUUAGCUAGUUGGUAAGGUAACGGCUUACCAAGGCAACGAUGCAUAGCCGACCUGAGAGGGUGAUCGGCCACACUGGAACUGAGACACGGUCCAGACUCCUACGGGAGGCAGCAGUAGGGAAUCUUCCGCAAUGGGCGAAAGCCUGACGGAGCAACGCCGCGUGAGUGAUGAAGGUCUUCGGAUCGUAAAACUCUGUUAUUAGGGAAGAACAUAUGUGUAAGUAACUGUGCACAUCUUGACGGUACCUAAUCAGAAAGCCACGGCUAACUACGUGCCAGCAGCCGCGGUAAUACGUAGGUGGCAAGCGUUAUCCGGAAUUAUUGGGCGUAAAGCGCGCGUAGGCGGUUUUUUAAGUCUGAUGUGAAAGCCCACGGCUCAACCGUGGAGGGUCAUUGGAAACUGGAAAACUUGAGUGCAGAAGAGGAAAGUGGAAUUCCAUGUGUAGCGGUGAAAUGCGCAGAGAUAUGGAGGAACACCAGUGGCGAAGGCGACUUUCUGGUCUGUAACUGACGCUGAUGUGCGAAAGCGUGGGGAUCAAACAGGAUUAGAUACCCUGGUAGUCCACGCCGUAAACGAUGAGUGCUAAGUGUUAGGGGGUUUCCGCCCCUUAGUGCUGCAGCUAACGCAUUAAGCACUCCGCCUGGGGAGUACGACCGCAAGGUUGAAACUCAAAGGAAUCGACGGGGACCCGCACAAGCGGUGGAGCAUGUGGUUUAAUUCGAAGCAACGCGAAGAACCUUACCAAAUCUUGACAUCCUUUGACAACUCUAGAGAUAGAGCCUUCCCCUUCGGGGGACAAAGUGACAGGUGGUGCAUGGUUGUCGUCAGCUCGUGUCGUGAGAUGUUGGGUUAAGUCCCGCAACGAGCGCAACCCUUAAGCUUAGUUGCCAUCAUUAAGUUGGGCACUCUAAGUUGACUGCCGGUGACAAACCGGAGGAAGGUGGGGAUGACGUCAAAUCAUCAUGCCCCUUAUGAUUUGGGCUACACACGUGCUACAAUGGACAAUACAAAGGGCAGCGAAACCGCGAGGUCAAGCAAAUCCCAUAAAGUUGUUCUCAGUUCGGAUUGUAGUCUGCAACUCGACUACAUGAAGCUGGAAUCGCUAGUAAUCGUAGAUCAACAUGCUACGGUGAAUACGUUCCCGGGUCU